rnacentral:rRNA from 1 species
CCUACGGGUGGCAGCAGUGAGGAAUAUUGGUCAAUGGGCGCGAGCCUGAACCAGCCAAGUAGCGUGAAGGAAUACUGCCCUACGGGUUGUAAACUGCUUUUCUAAGAGAAUAAAGUGCGACACGUGUACCUGUUUGUAUGUAUCUUAUGAAUAAGGAUCGGCUAACUCCGUGCCAGCAGCCGCGGUAAUACGGAGGAUUCAAGCGUUAUCCGGAUUUAUUGGGUUUAAAGGGUGCGUAGUUGGUUCGAUAAGUUAGAUGUGAAAGCCCGGGGCUCAACCCCGGAACUGCCUCUGAUACUGUCGGGCUAGAGUUUAGUUGCGGUAGGCGGAAUGUAUGGUGUAGCGGUGAAAUGCAUAGAGAUCAUACAGAACACCGAUUGCGAAGGCAGCUUACCAAACUACGACUGACGUUGAGGCACGAAAGCGUGGGGAGCAAACAGGAUUAGAUACCCUAGUAGUC